rnacentral:rRNA from 1 species
GAUGAACGCUGGCGGCGUGCCUAAUACAUGCAAGUCGAGCGACUGGAUUAAGAGCUUGCUCUUAUGAAGUUAGCGGCGGACGGGUGAGUAACACGUGGGUAACCUGCCCAUAAGACUGGGAUAACUACGGGAAACCGGGGCUAAUACCGGAUAACAUUUUGAACCGCAUGGUUCGAAAUUGAAAGGCGGCUCCGGCUGUCACUUAGGGUUGGUCUCGCGUCGCAUCAGCUAGUUGGUGAGGUAACGGCUCACCAAGGCAACGAUGCGUAGCCGACCUGAGAGGGUGAUCGGCCACACUGGGACUGAGACACGGCCCAGACUCCUACGGGAGGCAGCAGUAGGGAAUCUUCCGCAAUGGACGAAAGUCUGACGGAGCAACGCCGCGUGAGUGAUGAAGGCUUUCGGGUCGUAAAACUCUGUUGUUAGGGAGGAACAAGUGCUAGUUGAAUAAGCUGACACCUUGACGGUACCUAACCAGAAAGCCACGGCUAACUACGUGCCAGCCGCCGCAGUAA